UACGGAGGAUGCAAGCGUUAUCCGGAUUCAUUGGGUUUAAAGGGUGCGCAGGCGGGCUAAUAAGCCAGUGGUGAAAGCCCAUCGCUCAACGAUGGAACUGCCAUUGAUACUGUAAGACUUGAAUGCUUAGGAAGUAACUAGAAUAUGUAGUGUAGCGGUGAAAUGCUUAGAUAUUACAUGGAAUACCAAUUGCGAAGGCAGGUUACUACUAAGUGAUUGACGCUGAUGGACGAAAGCGUGGGGAGCGAACAGGAUUAGAUACCCUGGUAGUCCACGCCGUAAACGAUGGAUACUAGCUGUUCGGAGCAAUCUGAGUGGCUAAGCGAAAGUGAUAAGUAUCCCACCUGGGGAGUACGCACGCAAGUGUGAA
rnacentral:rRNA from 1 species